UGGGGAAUUUUGCACAAUGGGCGAAAGCCUGAUGCAGCAACGCCGCGUGUGUGAUGAAGGUCUUCGGAUUGUAAAGCACUUUCGAUCGGGAAGAAAACAGCUUGGCUAACAUCCAAGCUCUUGACUGUACCGAGAGAAGAAGCACCGGCUAACUCUGUGCCAGCAGCCGCGGUAAUACAGAGGGUGCAAGCGUUGUUCGGAAUUAUUGGGCGUAAAGCGCGUGUAGGCGGCUAGGUAAGUCGGGUGUGAAAGCCCUCAGCUCAACUGAGGAAGUGCGCUCGAAACUGCUUGGCUUGAGUACCGGAGAGGGUGGCGGAAUUCCCCAAGUAGAGGUGAAAUUCGUAGAUAUGGGGAGGAACACCAGUGGCGAAGGCGGCCACCUGGACGGAUACUGACGCUG
rnacentral:rRNA from 1 species